rnacentral:tRNA from 1 species
GGAGGCGUGCCCGAGCACAGGGCUACCUUGAUAGAGUAGAUACGGAACCCAUAAAUUCCCACCUCCC